UCCGGUGAUCCUGGCGGAGGCCACUGCUAUCGGAGUUCGAUUAAGCCAUGCGAGUCGAGAGGUGAAAGACCUCGGCAUACUGCUCAGUAACACGUGGACAAUCUAACCUACGGAGGGGGAUAACCCCGGGAAACUGGGGAUAAUACCCCAUAGACUAUGGAUGCUGGAAUGCUUUGUAGUCGAAAGGUCCGCCGCCGUAGGAUGGGUCUGCGGCCGAUUAGGUUGUUGUUGGGGUAACGGCCCAACAAGCCUGUAAUCGGUACGGGUUGUGGGAGCAAGAGCCCGGAGAUGGAUUCUGAGACACGAAUCCAGGCCCUACGGGGCGCAGCAGGCGCGAAAACUUUACAAUGCGGGAAACCGUGAUAGGGGAACUCCGAGUGCCCGUUAAAUCGGGCUGUCCACCAGUUUAAAUAACUGGUGAAGAAAGGGCCGGGCAAGACCGGUGCCAGCCGCCGCGGUAAUACCGGCGGCUCGAGUGGUGGCCACUAUUACUGGGCUUAAAGCGUUCGUAGCUGGUUUGUUAAGUCUCCGGGGAAAUCUUCCGGCUUAACCGGAAGGCGUCUCAGGGAUACUGGCAGACUAGGGACCGGGAGAGGUGAGGGGUACUCCAGGGGUAGGAGUGAAAUCCUGUAAUCCUUGGGGGACCACCUGUGGCGAAGGCGCCUCACCAGAACGGCUCCGACAGUGAGGGACGAAAGCUGGGGGAGCAAACCGGAUUAGAUACCCGGGUAGUCCCAGCUGUAAACGAUGCGCGUUAGGUGUAUCGGUGACCACGAGUCACCGAGGCGCCGAAGAGAAAUCGUGAAACGUGCCGCCUGGGAAGUACGGUCGCAAGGCUGAAACUUAAAGGAAUUGGCGGGGGAGCACCACAACGGGUGGAGCCUGCGGUUUAAUCGGACUCAACGCCGGGAAACUCACCAGUUAAGACAGCUGAAUGAUAGUCGGGCUGAAGACUCUACUUGACUAGCUGAGAGGAGGUGCAUGGCCGUCGUCAGUUCGUACUGUGAAGCAUCCUGUUAAGUCAGGCAACGAGCGAGACCCA
rnacentral:rRNA from 1 species